GGCUUGUGCUACCUGAUUUCAGAGCUUGUGCUAAUGCUUCAAUGGUACAGACAUGUGGUGUUGGCAUAAGAAUGCACAGAUAGAUCAAUGGAACACUAAAGAGUCCAGACAUCAACCCACACAUAUGUUCACUUGAUUUUUGACAAAGGUACGAAGGAAAUUCAAUGAUGAAAGGAUCAUUUUUCAAUAGUGCAGGAAACAGCCAGAUAACUGAAUAAAAAAAAAAAAAAGAGCUGUGACCUGUUUCCCACAUAAUACAUAGCAGUUAAUUUGAAACUGAUUGUACGCUCAUGUAAAAGGGAAAACUUUAAAAUUCUCAGAAGAAAACAUAGGUGAAUAUCUUUGGGAAGAUUUCUUAGAGAGACACAAAAAGUACUAAUCAUUAAAUUAAAUAUUGAUAAAUUGGAAUUUUUCCAAAAGUGAAACUUUUUGUUUGCUAAAAGACACCCUUUAGGACAUACAAAGGCAAACUAUAACGUUGGGGAAAUUAUUUGAAAUACACAUAUCUGACAAAACAUAUCCAUCCAGAAUGUAUAAAGAAACUCCUACAAUAUAAUGUGAAAAGACACAAUCCAUGAAAAAUUGUUCAAAAGACUUGAAAAUACAUUUCAUAAAAGAAGAUUUAAAAAAUGGCUAAUGAGCACAUGAAACUUUGCUUAAUAUUAUUAGUCAUCAGGGAAAUAGAAAUUAAAACCACAGUGAAAUACCACUGUGAAAUACCACACCCACUAAACUGGGUAACCUAAAAUGAUUGACAGCAUUCAGUUCUGGCAAUGACACAGAACAACUGAAACUCUUCCAAUUGCUGUUGGCAGUCCGAAAUGGCAAUGACCACUCUAGAAAACAGUUGGGCAGUUUCUGAUAAGGUUAAAGGUAUGACCCAGCAAUUCCCUCCCUAGAUAUUUGGCCAAGAGAAAUGAGAAUAUAUGCUCACAAUAAGACUUGUACAGGAAUGUUCAUAGCAGCUUUAUUCAUAUAAUAAUAACCAAAAACCAGGAGCUGUGAACCAAAUGUUCAUCAACAUGGGACUAAAUAGGCCAAUAGCGCGCACGCAAACAUGGUGAACGUUCCUAAAACCCGCCGGACUUUCUGUAAGAAAUGUGGCAAGCACCAACCCCACAAAGUGACACAGUACAAGAAGGGCAAGGAUUCUCUGUAUGCCCAGGGAAAGCGGCGUUAUGAUAGAAAGCAGAGUGGCUAUGGUGGGCAGACUAAGCCGAUUUUCCGGAAAAAGGCUAAAACUACAAAGAAAAUUGUGCAACUGCAGAUCUAAGAGAAUGCUGGCUAUUAAGAGAUGCAAGCAUUUUGAACUGGGAGGAGAUAAGAAGAGAAAGGGCCAAGUGAUCCAGUUCUAAGCGUCUUUUGUUUAUUAUGAAGACAAUAAAAUCUUGAUGUUACGUUAAUUA